rnacentral:lncRNA from 1 species
CGCCGCCGUGAGAGAGCGGUGCCGCCCGAAAGCAAGGGCUGCCCCGAGCUUCCCUUCGCCGGAACUUCCUCCUCCGGCCACCAAUCCGGGCAAGCUUGGUAUGGUUUUGUAGCCCUCCAACCCAGCAACCUUGCCCUAAAAGGACUCACUCCCUCUUGAGCUAGGUAAGGAGAAAUUUGAGGUGGAAGUUUUAUGGUGUUUUUGAUUUUUUAGUCGAUUGCCCUAGUUAGGCUUGGAAUUGGUGUUUGUGCUAGUUAUGAAAGUUGUAGAGCUUGAUGAGAGGAAGAUGCUGUUAAAAUUUCAUAGGUUUUGGAGGUCGCCGGAAUUGACCUCCGGCCGCCGCCGGUUGGGAGAUUUUAAUGUUGUUAAAUUUGGAAUAUUAAGGGGAGUUUAUUGAAGUGAGUGAUGGAAUUUUUGGAUGAGUUUUGGAUAGGUUUAUGAAUUUCCGAAGUGUGGUAUUUUUGGCGGGUAAUUAAUGUAGAAUCCGGCCGUUGGAUUUAAGUCGUAUUUUGGAGAGGUUGUAUUUACGACUGUGGAGUAUGAUAUUUAAGUUCGGAUCGUCCGAUGUAAGAAUAUCGAAGUUAGGCAAUAAUGAGCGUAAUUAUGGCUCUCGGGUAAUUUUGAUUAAAUAUUGGAUAUUGGUUGGGAAAUUAAUAUUAUAUUUGGAACAGGACGUGAAGAGGCUCGAGCAGACGAGACCCCAGAUUGACAUCAGGCUUAGGCCUAAUUCGUGAGUGGACGUUUAUUUUAAAUAAAUGCAUGCUAUAGUUCAUGGUUGAACAAUUAAUAUUGCGGAAUAUUUUAACGUCAUUUUAAUUUGACGAUUUUUAUUUUCUCUUGGAGAGCUACCGAAAAUGGGAUUUUCGGUGGAUAUAAAUAUGUAUUUAUGAGAGAGUAUGUAUAUAAAUGCUAGCUAGCCAUAUGUGUCUGUCCACCUUAAUGGCGUAGCAUAUAGCCGCAUUAUGGUGUGACGUGAGCGUUGGACGUAAGCGUAGUAGCCCUAUAUGAGUGUUUAAUUCAUAUAGGGGGUAUGGGCACAUAUUUAUACACCCGUCUGUCCACCUUGAUGGCGUAGUGUAGCACCGCAUUAAGGCGUGACGUGAGCNNNNNNN